rnacentral:rRNA from 1 species
GACGAACGCUGGCGGCGUGCCUAAUACAUGCAAGUUGAGCGCUGAAGGUUGGUACUUGUACCAACUGGAUGAGCAGCGAACGGGUGAGUAACGCGUGGGGAAUCUGCCUUUGAGCGGGGUCAACAUUUGGAAACGAAUGCUAAUACCGCAUAAAAACUUUAAACACAAGUUUUAAGUUUGAAAGAUGCAAUUGCAUCACUCAAAGAUGAUCCCGCGUUGUAUUAGCUAGUUGGUGAGGUAAAGGCUCACCAAGGCGAUGAUACAUAGCCGACCUGAGAGGGUGAUCGGCCACAUUGGGACUGAGACACGGCCCAAACUCCUACGGGAGGCAGCAGUAGGGAAUCUUCGGCAAUGGACGAAAGUCUGACCGAGCAACGCCGCGUGAGUGAAGAAGGUUUUCGGACCGUAAAACUCUGUUGGUAGAGAAGAACGUUGGUGAGAGUGGAAAGCUCAUCAAGUGACGGUAACUACCCAGAAAGGGACGGCUAACUACGUG